AGCUCCAAUAGCGUAUAUUAAAGUUGUUGUGGUUAAAAAGCUCGUAGUUGGAUCUCAACAGACUUGGAUCGGUUUACUUUGUGUAAUACUGAUCCAAAGCUGUGCUUUUGUCGGAGGUUUAGGGGUGCUCUUAACCGAGUGUCUCUGAGUGCCGACAGGUUUACUUUGAAAAAAUUAGGGUGCUUAAAGCGGGCUGUUAUGCUCGAAUAUUUGUGCAUGGAAUAAUAGAAUAGGAUGUUGAUCUUAUUUUGUUGGUUUUCGAGACUUGACAUAAUGAUUAAUAGGGACAGUCGGGGGCAUUUGUAUUCAAACGACAGAGGUGAAAUUCUUGGACCGUUUGAAGAAAAACUACGGCGAAAGCAGGGGACAAGAAUGUUUUCA
rnacentral:rRNA from 1 species